rnacentral:rRNA from 1 species
CCUACGGGGAGCAGCAGUGAGGAAUAUUGGUCAAUGGGAGAGAUCCUGAACCAGCCAAGCCGCGUGAGGGAAGACGGCCCUAUGGGUUGUAAACCUCUUUUGUCGGAGAACAAAACCCGGGACGUGUCCCGGACUGCGUGUAUCCGAAGAAAAAGCAUCGGCUAACUCCGUGCCAGCAGCCGCGGUAAUACGGAGGAUGCGAGCGUUAUCCGGAUUUAUUGGGUUUAAAGGGUGCGUAGGCGGUCCGUUAAGUCAGCGGGAAAAUUGCGGGGCUCAACCCCGUCGAGCCGUUGACACUGGCAGACUUGAGUUGGCGAGAAGUACGCGGAAUGCGCGGUGUAGCGGUGAAAUGCAUAGAGAUCGCGCAGAACUCCGAUUGCGAAGGCAGCGUACCGGCGCCAGACUGACGCUGAGGCACGAAAGCGUGGGGAUCGAACAGGAUUAGAUACCCUGGUAGUC